rnacentral:rRNA from 1 species
UACGGAGGGGGCGAGCGUUAUUCGGAAUUAUUGGGCGUAAAGGGCGCGUAGGCGGCUGUACAAGUCAAAGGUGAAAUCCCUCGGCUCAACUGAGGAACUGCCUUUGAAACUGUACGGCUUGAGGCCGGGAGGGGGUAGCGGAACUUUAGGUGUAGGAGUGAAAUCCGUAGAUAUCUAAAGGAACACCAAUGGCGAAGGCAGCUUACUGGGCCAUUACUGACACUGAGAUGCGAAAGUGUGGGGAGCAAACGGG